AAAAAGCAGCAAAGUCAGGCGAACCAGGAGCUACAAGAGAGAAGGGGGUGAAGGAGUCAGGAGGAGGGAGUCGGGAGAGCUGUGACCUGGCCGUACCAUCGCAGCCGGGGCUCCUGGAUGUAUGCCACGCAGUUGUGAAG